UGGAACCGAAAUUAAAGUUGUUGCCGUUCCGUAUAAAGAUAAUGUAAUCAUAUUUUGAAACAAAGUACAAGAAGUUGGUGAAUGGGGUGCUGAUAGACAAUCGUUGAUGGAUAUUUAUAGAGCUUUGAUCAGGACAACACUUGAUUACGGGUGUAUAGUUUAUGGAACAGCGCCGAAGACUGCUUCAGAGGCUGGACAGAGGAAUCCAGUAUAUAGCUUUAAGGAUGUAUAUUGGUGCAUUUAGGCCGUCAUUGUAAAAUAAGACUUUAACCGACUUGCCUAGUUAAAUAAAGGUUAAAUAAAAAAUAUUUUAAAAAUUAUCAACAUCUGUAUGUGCCUUACUAGUGGAGGCAGGUGAGAUACCUUUGGAAAUACGGCAUAAAAAGAAAAUGCUUAUUGGGUUAAGUUGAAAGGCUGCCAUUGAACAUUGAGUUUGACAUGUCAACAGGAUGAUGUGGCUUUGACAUGAAUGUAUAUUAGCUACUUUAAUCACAAUAUGAUUUCUGAAGAUGAGUUGAGUUUACCUUAAGGGGCACUCACCUUGAUUUAGCAAUUUGCAGCUAUGGAGAAGAGGCAAUGCCAAUAGCAGUAUACAUUUUCAAAGCCUGUGACUUGCUUCGCCAAAGCCAUCAAUAUUUGGGCUCCUGAGUGGCGCCGUCUAAGGCACGGCAUCUCAAUGCUAGAGGCGUCACUACAGACACCCUGGUUCAAGUCCAGGCUGUAUCACAACUGGAUGUGAUUGGGAGUGCUGUAGGGCGGUGCACAAUUGGCCUAUUGUCGUCUGGGUUUGGCCGGUGUAGGCCGUCAUUGUAAAUAAGAAUUUGUUCUAACUGACUUGCCUGGUUAAAAUAUAUAUAUAUAUAUAUAUAUAUUCAGCUGAAACAGGUACAGAACCACAUAAAUAUAGUCUAAUUUGUAUAAAAUAAUUGUCUGAAGUUUUCAUGUGUUCUGACUUCCAGCUCUAUGUGAACCAGGUGGAGGCUUAUCUACAGAUGUGUGACUUCCUGUCUACAGCCAUCAGCUGCAGACAUGCCUGCCUCCUGGAGCCUCAGGCUAAGGCCCUCCACAAACCUCUGUCCUGCUGUGUUAUGGCUGUGAUUUUCUUACAACAGUCUGGGAAACAAUUCAGACAUAAUGAUCAUCCCUACACAGUCAAGCACGCACCCAGCACCAUUGAAGUACCUCUUGCUUCCACUUUGUAAAAUGAUGUAGGCCUAUCUGAUAGCACCCUUUUUAUAGAUCUCAUCUGAAAACUGUUGUAAUUGUCUUGUUUAGAGAAUAGAGAUAAUAUUGAGUUAUGUCCACUCCACAGGGGAUGUUCCUGGAUGCUCUGGAGUUGUUUGCCAAGGCCUUACUGCUGGUCAUAUCAUAUGAGGAGCCUGGCAUGUCUGACGGCCCUGGGCCGUUAUACUGACUGUCUGAGGCUUGUCAGUAACUGGCUAGAGGUAGACUCUGAGACCGCAGAUCUGCUCACCCUCAGAGCACGGCUCCACAAACAGCUCAACCAGGGGUAUUCUGUACCGUAGGCUGAACGACUUCACUUCUGUCAUUGAGGACCUGGUCCUGGCUGUGGAGCUGAGUGAGGGCUUGAGUCCAGGGGGCGGAGCCGAGCGGACACACCCAGGAAAAACCGAGGGCCGUGCAGGAGGCGGCCCAGCCCCAGCUGGUGCUCACCUUUAACGACUUUGCCGUGCCGUGCUUCUUCCCAUAGCUUCUACGCCGAGGAAGCCAUGCUGCUCAGCAAGGCCGUCCAGGAGCAGAAGGAGGAAAGCGGUCUCCACAUUAACAGAGGAGGUGAGGGGAGGGGAAAGAAGAGGACGGGAGACAAAAGAAGAGGAGAGAUGAGGGAAGGGAGGAAGUACCAUGAGGCAGCUCUGACAAGUUCUCUGAGGCCAUCAAGUAGAACCCUGGAGUCAGCCAGUACUAUGAGAACUGGGCCAAAGCCCCACCGUAAAGUGCCCAACGUGGAGGGGGCCAAGCAGGAUGCCAUCAGUACCCUUCUCCUGGACCCCACUAAUGAUCAUGCAAGACCCUCAACGCCUGUACUGUUUGUCUCAUCCACUCUAUCCAUAAUACUGAGCUGUUAUAGCUAGGGCCUAAUGUGGACCAAGGACCCUAGUUAUGCAAGUACUAAGCUCUCACCACUUGUUUCCAAUGCAGAUUGGGGGGGAAAAAAACAUGAUUUUUCUAAGUAUGUGAACAGGUUAUUCUUUCUUUUAACACACAUUUCAUUUUAUGUAAUACAUGUUUCAUAAAGUGGUGUGAAACUCCCACUUGGUGCAGAACUGACUACUGUAGUAAAUCUGUCCCUCUGUCUGCACGUGUGUGUUUCCAGUUUUAAUGUCACAUGGACAGGUACAGUGAAAUGUCUUUCUUGCAACCAACAAAGCAGUAAUC